rnacentral:rRNA from 1 species
GACGGGGGGGGCAAGUGUUCUUCGGAAUGACUGGGCGUAAAGGGCGCGCAGGCGGUCUGCUCAGUUUUGAGUGACAGGUGGUGGCUUAACUGCCACAGGCCUUGAAAUACUGGUAGACUUGAGGGCUUCAGAGGGAUGCGGAAUUCCAGGUGGAGCGGUGAAAUGCGUAGAGAUCUGGAAGAACACCAAUGGCGAAGGCAGCAUCCUGGGAGGCAUCUGACGCGUGAGGCGCGAAAGCCAGGGG